GGUGAGUAACGCGUGAGAAUCUGGCUCCAGGUCGGGGAUAACAGUUGGAAACGACUGCUAAUACCGGAUGUGCCGAGAGGUGAAAGAUUUAUUGCCUGGAGAUGAGCUCGCGUCUGAUUAGCUAGUUGGUGGUGUAAGGGACCACCAAGGCGUCGAUCAGUAGCUGGUCUGAGAGGAUGAUCAGCCACACUGGGACUGAGACACGGCCCAGACUCCUACGGGAGGCAGCAGUGGGGAAUUUUCCGCAAUGGGCGAAAGCCUGACGGAGCAAUACCGCGUGAGGGAGGAAGGCUCUUGGGUCGUAAACCUCUUUUCUCAAGGAAGAAGAAAGUGACGGUACUUGAGGAAUAAGCAUCGGCUAACUCCGUGCCAGCAGCCGCGGUAAUACGGAGGAUGCAAGCGUUAUCCGGAAUGAUUGGGCGUAAAGGGUCUGCAGGUGGAACUGAAAGUCUGCUGUUAAAGAGUUUGGCUUAACCAAAUAAAAGCGGUGGAAACUACAGAACUAGAGUGCGGUAGGGGCAAAAGGAAUUCCUGGUGUAGCGGUGAAAUGCGUAGAUAUCAGGAAGAACACCGGUGGCGAAAGCGUUUUGCUAGACCGUAACUGACACUGAGGGACGAAAGCUAGGGGAGCGAAUGGGAUUAGAUACCCCAGUAGUCCUAGCCGUAAACGAUGGAUACUAGGCGUGGCUUGUAUCGACCCGAGCCGUGCCGGAGCUAACGCGUUAAGUAUCCCGCCUGGGGAGUACGCACGCAAGUGUGAAACUCAAAGGAAUUGACGGGGGCCCGCACAAGCGGUGGAGUAUGUGGUUUAAUUCGAUGCAACGCGAAGAACCUUACCAAGACUUGACAUCCUGCGAAUCCUGGUGAAAGCUGGGAGUGCCUUAGGGAGCGCAGAGACAGGUGGUGCAUGGCUGUCGUCAGCUCGUGUCGUGAGAUGUUGGGUUAAGUCCCGCAACGAGCGCAACCCUCGUUUUUAGUUGCCAGCAUUAAGUUGGGCACUCUAGAGAGACUGCCGGUGACAAACCGGAGGAAGGUGAGGAUGACGUCAAGUCAGCAUGCCCCUUACGUCUUGGGCUACACACGUACUACAAUGCUACGGACAGAGGGCAGCGAGCCAGGGAUGGCAAGCGAAUCCAGAAACCGUAGCUCAGUUCAGAUCGAAGGCUGCAACUCGCCUUCGUGAAGGAGGAAUCGCUAGUAAUUGCAGGUCAGCAUACUGCAGUGAAUUCGUUCCCGGGCCUUGUACACACCGCCCGUCACACCAUGGAAGUUGGUCACGCCCGAAGUCAUUACCCCAACCGAAAGGAGGGGGAUGCCUAAGGUAGGACUGGUGACUGGGGUGAAGUCGUAACAA
rnacentral:rRNA from 1 species